rnacentral:rRNA from 1 species
GAACCUGCGGAAGGAUCAUUACAGAGUUCAUGCCCGAAAGGGUAGACCUCCCACCCUUGUGUAUUAUUACUUUGUUGCUUUGGCGAGCUGCCUUCGGGCCUUGUAUGCUCGCCAGAGAAUACCAAAACUCUUUUUAUUAAUGUCGUCUGAGUACUAUAUAAUAGUUAAAACUUUCAACAACGGAUCUCUUGGUUCUGGCAUCGAUGAAGAACGCAGCGAAAUGCGAUAAGUAAUGUGAAUUGCAGAAUUCAGUGAAUCAUCGAAUCUUUGAACGCACAUUGCGCCCCUUGGUAUUCCGGGGGGCAUGCCUGUUCGAGCGUCAUUUCAACCCUCAAGCUUAGCUUGGUAUUGAGUCUAUGUCAGUAAUGGCAGGCUCUAAAAUCAGUGGCGGCGCCGCUGGGUCCUGAACGUAGUAAUAUCUCUCGUUACAGGUUCUCGGUGUGCUUCUGCCAAAACCCAAAUUUUUCUAUGGUUGACCUCGGAUCAGGUAGGGAUACCCGCUGAACUUAAGCAUAUCA